AUGAACGCUAGCGGCAGGCUUAACACAUGCAAGUCGAGGGGCAGCAUAAUGGAUAGCAAUAUCUAUGGUGGCGACCGGCGCACGGGUGCGUAACGCGUAUGCAACCUACCUUUAACAGGGGGAUAACACUGAGAAAUUGGUACUAAUACCCCAUAAUAUCAUAGAAGGCAUCUUUUAUGGUUGAAAAUUCCGAUGGUUAGAGAUGGGCAUGCGUUGUAUUAGCUAGUUGGUGGGGUAACGGCUCACCAAGGCGACGAUACAUAGGGGGACUGAGAGGUUAACCCCCCACACUGGUACUGAGACACGGACCAGACUCCUACGGGAGGCAGCAGUGAGGAAUAUUGGUCAAUGGACGCAAGUCUGAACCAGCCAUGCCGCGUGCAGGAUGACGGCUCUAUGAGUUGUAAACUGCUUUUGUACGAGGGUAAACGCAGAUACGUGUAUCUGUCUGAAAGUAUCGUACGAAUAAGGAUCGGCUAACUCCGUGCCAGCAGCCGCGGUAAUACGGAGGAUUCAAGCGUUAUCCGGAUUUAUUGGGUUUAAAGGGUGCGUAGGCGGUUUGAUAAGUUAGAGGUGAAAUUUCGGGGCUCAACCCUGAACGUGCCUCUAAUACUGUUGAGCUAGAGAGUAGUUGCGGUAGGCGGAAUGUAUGGUGUAGCGGUGAAAUGCUUAGAGAUCAUACAGAACACCGAUUGCGAAGGCAGCUUACCAAACUAUAUCUGACGUUGAGGCACGAAAGCGUGGGGAGCAAACAGGAUUAGAUACCCUGGUAGUCCACGCAGUAAACGAUGAUAACUCGUUGUCGGCGAUACACAGUCGGUGACUAAGCGAAAGCGAUAAGUUAUCCACCUGGGGAGUACGUUCGCAAGAAUGAAACUCAAAGGAAUUGACGGGGGCCCGCACAAGCAGUGGAGUAUGUGGUUUAAUUCGACGCAACGCGAAGAACCUUACCAAGGCUUGACAUAUACAGGAAUAUAUAAGAAAUUAUAUAGCUUUUCGGAGUCUGUAUACAGGUGGUGCAUGGUUGUCGUCAGCUCGUGCCGUGAGGUGUCGGGUUAAGUCCCAUAACGAGCGCAACCCCUACCGUUAGUUGCCAUCAGGUCAAGCUGGGCACUCUGGCGGGACUGCCGGUGUAAGCCGAGAGGAAGGUGGGGAUGACGUCAAAUCAGCACGGCCCUUACGUCCGGGGCUACACACGUGUUACAAUGGUAGGUACAGAGGGUAGCUACCCAGCGAUGGGAUGCGAAUCUCGAAAGCCUAUCUCAGUUCGGAUUGGAGGCUGAAACCCGCCUCCAUGAAGUUGGAUUCGCUAGUAAUCGCGCAUCAGCCAUGGCGCGGUGAAUACGUUCCCGGGCCUUGUACACACCGCCCGUCAAGCCAUGGGAGCCGGGGGUGCCUGAAGUUCGUGACCGCAAGGAGCGACCUAGGGCAAAACUGGUGACUGGGGCU
rnacentral:rRNA from 1 species